CGAACGCUGGGGGCAGGGCUAAAACAUGCAAAUCGACCUCGCCCUUUGGGGUGAGCGGGGGGAGGGUGAGUAAAGAGUGGGAAUAUUCCCUCUUAUGCGGAACAACUGAAGGAAAGGGAAGUUAAUACCGCAUGCGCCCUUAGGGGGAAAGAUUUAUCGGGGUAGGAGNAGCCCGCGUUGGAUUAGUUAGUUGGUGGGGUAAUGGCUCACCAAGGGUACGAUCCAUAGCUGGUGUGAGAGGAUGAUCAGCCACUCUGGGACUGAGACNCGGCCCAGACUCUUACGGGAGGCAGCAGUGGGGAAUCUUGGACAAUGGGCGCAAGCCUGANGCAGCCAUGCCGCGUGAGUGAUGAAGNCCNUAGGAUNGUAAAGNUCUUCACCGGUGACGA
rnacentral:rRNA from 1 species